rnacentral:rRNA from 1 species
UACGUAGGGCGCAAGCGUUGUCCGGAAUUAUUGGGCGUAAAGCGCUCGUAGGCGGCUUGUCACGUCGGGUGUGAAAGCCCGGGGCUUAACCCCGGGUCUGCAUUCGAUACGGGCAGGCUAGAGUGUGGUAGGGGAGAUCGGAAUUCCUGGUGUAGCGGUGAAAUGCGCAGAUAUCAGGAGGAACACCGGUGGCGAAGGCGGAUCUCUGGGCCAUUACUGACGCUGAGGAGCGAAAGCGUGGGGAGCGAACAGG